GACGAACGCUGGCGGCAUGCCUAAUACAUGCAAGUCGAGCGAACAGAUGGAGUGCUUGCACUUCUGACGUUAGCGGCGAACGGGUGAGUAACACGUAAGGAAUCUACCUAUAAGCGGGGGAUAACAUUCGGAAACGGGUGCUAAUACCGCAUAAUAUCUUCUUCCGCAUGGAAGAAGAUUGAAAGACGGCUCUGCUGUCACUUAUAGAUGACCUUGCGGUGCAUUAGUUAGUUGGUGGGGUAACGGCCUACCAAGACGAUGAUGCAUAGCCGACCUGAGAGGGUGAUCGGCCACAUUGGGACUGAGACCCGGCCCAGACUCCUAUGGGAGGCAGCAGUAGGGAAUCUUCCGCAAUGGGCGAAAGCCUGACGGAGCAAUGCCGCGUGAGUGAAGAAGGCCUUCGGGUCGUGAAACUCUGUUAUAAGAGAAGAACAAAUUGUAGAGUAACUGCUACAGUCUUGACGGUAUCUUAUCAGAAAGCCACGGCUAACUACGUGCCAGCCGCCGCGGUAA
rnacentral:rRNA from 1 species